rnacentral:lncRNA from 1 species
GACUGAGCAGUGCUCAGUCACCAGCUGGGGUUAACCCUCGACAGAUGCCCAGCAGAUUCUUCCCUCCUGGUUUGUAGAAAAUGAAGCCAUUUCAUGGGUCCAUCGUGCUCCCUUAGGGUGCUCACCCCCAGAGGGAGGGAGGCUUUGAUUGGGAGGAAGGAGAAACUCUUGGAGAGGAGAAAGGCUGAGUGAAUAAAGGCACAGCUAAUGAAGAGCAGAGAAAGCUCCUGCCCUGGCUGAGUGCAAGCAGCAUCCCUGCAAGUGAUGCACCGAAAUGUAGGGAACACGCUGGAGCGCAGGAAUUCUGUUCCAGGGCUUGUCUGCAAAUUAAUGGCUAAAUCAAUUAAAUGAAAGCAUGGGAUUUCUCUUGAGGAAAGUCUAGUCACGGUCGCAAGGAGAAGGGGAGGGGUUGUGGAGCAGGGAUGACAUAAUCACGUUUGCGAAU